rnacentral:lncRNA from 10 species
AUUGUACAAGGCACUAGGUAAUAAAGUUUACGGUCUUUUUAACAUUAAAAGUGAAAAGUAAAAUGGCUAAAUUAUAGUAGCCUAAUCAUUUCAUGCCAUUACUGAGGAUUGACAGGUUGGUUGUUUUAACAGCUGUACAAUGCUUAAGCUCUAAGGAUUCUAAAUCUCAAAUAAUAAAAAGAAUAACACUUUGCAUGAAUGUUUUUAUGAAUAUAUCUCAGACAUACUUUCUCACAGGCACUCUUUGUUAAAGAUAAUUAUUAUGUUUCAAUCAGGAGCCACAGAGUAACUCUGUAUAAUAGAGUGGAAUACUAUGUGGCUAUUAAAAAGAAUGAAAUGACUCUGUGUAUAUUGAUAUGGAAAGAUACCCAGUGAGCCACCAUGCCCAGCCCAUGAAACAUUUAAAUAUUACUUAUGUACCACUCUACGCAUCCAGUUUAAUAAUCUGAGUGAUCAUAGGUAAUUGAGUGCUCCCUUGAACAAUAAGCAUCAUUUUUUAUGUGCUGCGAUAGUUAUCACAGAUGCUUCCAGCCACUUAAUCCCUGCGGUGUGAAGGUUACAUUUCAGAUUGAGGUUUCCAGUAAAGGUAUAAGAAAAUCUUAAAUGAAUACCCAAAGCAUUAUUUAUUUUUUUUUUAGAAGCCAAACUGAAUUUGUGGAAGAAAAAUAAGUCAGCGUUUAAUGGAUGGAACAGAGAGUGGAAACAUCUGACAGAACAGUAGGAAACUUUGUUCUGUUUUGAACGCCUCACCACUACUCAUACCAUCUGUCAUGCAUUUCUCAU